CCUACGGGAGGCUGCAGUAGGGAAUCUUCCACAAUGGGCGAAAGCCUGAUGGAGCAACGCCGCGUGGGUGAAGAAGGUCUUCGGAUCGUAAAACCCUGUUGUUAGAGAAGCAAGUGCGGGAGCGUAACUGUUCACGUUUCGACGGUAUCUAACCAGAAAGCCACGGCUAAGUACGUGCCAGCAGCCGCGGUAAUACGUAGGUGGCAAGCGUUAUACGGAUUUAUGGGGCGUAAAGGGAACGCAGGCGGUCUUUUAAGUCUGAUGUGAAAGCCUUCGGCUUAACCGGAGUAGUGCAUUGGAAACGGGGAGAAUUGAGUGCAGAAGAGGAGAGUGGAACUCCAUGUGUAGCGGUGAAAUGCGUAGAUAUAUGGAAGAACACCAGGGGCGAAGGCGGCUCUCUGGUCUGUAACUGACGCUGAGGUUCGAAAGCGUGGGUAGCAAACAGGAUUAGAUACCCCAGUAGUC
rnacentral:rRNA from 1 species